AGAAUGCAGUCUAGUGCUAUAUCCUGCACCCCCCACCUCCCUGCCACAGCUAACUUGACACCUUAAUGAUUAAAAUUGUCGGUGGUGUUUGAAAUCAAGUAUGUGUUAGACAAACCAUUAUCCUUGGUGGUUAUGUUUCUGCACUUGUUAGCCGAGAAGCUCAUGGGUGUGCCCGCUUGUCCUGCUCCAAUGCAUCAGUUCCUGUUGGUAGUGAAUCUAUGGCAACCUGCUUAGUAACUAGAACACACGAGCACUGAAUGACUUUCCACAUCAGGCAGGAAAAGGAGCAGGAUUUCUGAAGCUGUGCUGACAAGAUUCAAUACUCUUUAUAACGCGUAGCUGGUUCUGUGGGGAAUGGAUCAGUCCUUGUUUGCAGAUCACAAGUACUGCAGCGUGAUGACAGUACACGAUAAAGUCUCAUGCACCAACUUCAUAACUCAUGGUGAUCCUUUCUCCAGUGGAUUCUUCAUCACGCAUCCUGCCUGGGUUACCAGCUCCCUUAGCCCUGUAAGGUGCUCAUGGAUCAGGCACUGUCCCUGUUUCCCUGAAACAAUAUGUAAGGGUCUCAUGGUGCUGGAAAAAUCUCUGGACUUUGCUAAUGUUCCUGUUCUGGCAAGAAGGAAGUCAGAUGGGUUUUAUUACCAAGGUACAAUAAAGCAGGAGAUCAAGGAGGAAAGAGGAAUGUAUCUGAUAGAGUUUGCCAAGCCACCUGCACUGGGUGAAAAGUAUCCAGCAUAUGUGCAAAAAACAUCCAAGGAUGACAUCCUUGAGUAUAGCCAUGGAAUGAGUCACUGCAUACUCCCUGGAGACAAAGUUCUGGCACCCUGGGAAUCAGACAUGGUGAGAUAUGGCCCUGGCACUGUUGUACUGGGCAUUGAGACCAGGGAUCCGCUGAGAGCCUCAGAGGAUGAAGAAAUUACAGUCCAUUUCUGGAAUGGCAAGAAAGUGAAAGUACCACUAGGUGUGGCCUUAUGGAUUCCACCAAAUUUGUGGGAUAGGAUUAUAGAUAUGAUCCACAUGCCCUUCACCAGCAGUUUAAAGCUCAUGGAAGCCCUCCAGAGCACUAGCUGUUGCAAUUGGCGUCACAGACUUCUGAAAACUCCUGUUCAUGCAUACACUUUAGAUAGGCUUACUACAUGCAGGUGGCCAUGCACUAUCACCUGGACCCCCUUCCACUGUCAUUACCAUAGUACGUGCUGUUCACUGGCACAUGCACAAUGUAUCUGCUACCACCAUCCCAAACUCAGUACCUGGUGGCCUGUACCAUCUAAGACUCCACUACUUCUGAGUGACACUGAACAAAAACAGCCCAACAACGGUAUCAGUAUGAAACUUUUGGAAUUGGAAGCUCCAAAAGAAGAAGAAUCAGCAGUUGUUGGUGCUGGUGCUGCUGCUGGUGCUGCUGCCUCCUCGUCUAGCUCCUCUGAUUCAGAAAGUGACUCAGAGAUGUGCUUAACCAAGAGGACGAUGGUGGACAGUGCUGUUAACACAGAUUCUAGCCUUUUUGAAAAGUCCACGUUGAAAGAUGAUGUGAAACCUCAGUGGAGAUACUGGAAGAGAAGCCACCCCAAGUCACUUCCCCAGAGUCCAGGAAUCUGUGUUCCUAGCAAUACAUGGGCAAAGGACAAAUUGGAAUCCAAAACUAUUUGUUUGGAGGUGUCACCUAUUGCAGCAAUCAACCAGAGUGCAAUGUUUCAAUCUACUGAACAGUCUCCCCGAAGACAGCUCACAAUGAAGGAAGCCUUAAUCCACCAGAACUUCAAACCAUCAUUGGGGGCCAUCUCUCCUUUAGAGAAAUUUGGAGAAAAUCAACACUGCAAGAGCACAUGCACAGAGCAGCAAAGGAAGCAGGAAGUCCUGCAGCAGAAAGAGGAACGUGAAAGGGAAUGCCAGGCUGAACACAGAUGCCACACUGCAUUGGAAAUCCGUGGACAAAAUGACUUAAGAGCAAACAGGCAGAUGGACAGGACUUGAACAUAAACUCCUGCAUGAUGCAUAAGUUUUGCUGCAUCAGUAGUUGCAGUAAAAUAGUACUUUAAGUUUUGGAAGUUGGACCUCAUGUUCGUAAAGACUAGAAAGUAUCUACAUGAAGAGACUUCCCUCAUUUGUGGAUGAGUGUGCUAUGACUUGCAGCACUGGUGGCAGUAACAGAAAGCACACUUAAACUCCAAAUGAUUAAUGAUUAAAAGGACAGCCCCCCCAAAUAUUUGAGAGUUGUGGAUGCAAGUCAGUGUGACUGCUCCCUCCCCCAAAGGCAGCUGAAGCACAGUUCUGCCUUGUAGUUAAAGAGAAAUGAUGGUGAAACAUCUUGAGCAGGAAGACAUGAAGCAGAGCCAGAUAACAAAAGCAAAGCAACUUGUACAACAGAGAAGAAACCUGAAAAUGCAAACCAUGUCAGAGAUGGAUAGGCACAAAGAACAGCAGAGACUAGCAAACCUGGAACAGGUCAGAGAGAAACGUGAUCAGAAGGAAAGGAAUAAGUGUACAGCUGAAGAAGUCAGCGAUACAAUCUCAGAUAACAAGCUGCUUGCUGCAAGAUGAUAGCCAACAUCAAAGGACAAAGAUGAUAUAAAUUAUGAUGAGGUUUGCUUACAGAUUUUAAUUCAAAAGAUAUGCCACAGCAGUGUGUUCCAAAAGGCAGAAUUGGAGGAAAUCAAUGUACAGUUUCCAAGAUGUUUCUAGAAGGCUAAUGAGACUUGAUCACUAGGUUCCUCAAGUCGCUGUUAAAUUACAAUUUCAGGGUCAAAUAUGUUCAAAGAUGAAAGAAUGUGGCUUUUUAGAACUCUGCAAGUAACCGCAGGACUGUGAAAACAGGCAUUUUAUUUGUCACUCCUUAGGUUCUGCUGAUCAUAAAUAAACAGUCCACAAAAAGUUUGUUCAUAGGAGUCUGAUCUUUACGUAGGUGAAGUUCCUCCAGGCAUCAGCAAAAAUUUGCUUGCAUCUGGGGUGCACGGGGUUGGAUUGUACGUGGCUCUUUCAUGAGCAUACACAAACAAGAAAAAGUUCUCUAUCUUGCUGGAGGCAAUAAAACUACACUCCUUUCUCCUCUUGCUCUUUAAACACAUGGAAUAUUUUGGCUGUAGUGUCAUGGCACACAUGGAAAAUAUGAGUUAACCUUGUUCAAAGCAUCUAUACACCAAGGGGAGUAGUUUUGUAUGGCACAUGAC